GAUGAACGCUGGCGGCGUGCCUAACACAUGCAAGUCGAACGAAGCUUGACGGAUGAUUUCUUCGGAAUGAAACCAGAUAUGACUUAGUGGCGGACGGGUGAGUAACACGUGAGCAACCUGCCUUUCAGAGGGGGAUAACGGCUGGAAACGGUCGCUAAUACCGCAUGAUGUGUUCGGAUGGCAUCAUCUGAACACCAAAGAUUUAUCGCUGAAAGAUGGGCUCGCGUCUGAUUAGAUAGUUGGUGGGGUAACGGCCUACCAAGUCUACGAUCAGUAGCCGGACUGAGAGGUUGAACGGCCACAUUGGGACUGAGAUACGGCCCAGACUCCUACGGGAGGCAGCAGUGGGGAAUAUUGCACAAUGGGGGAAACCCUGAUGCAGCAACGCCGCGUGAAGGAUGACGGUUUUCGGAUUGUAAACUUCUUUUCUUAGUGACGAAGACAGUGACGGUAGCUAAGGAAUAAGCAUCGGCUAACUACGUG
rnacentral:rRNA from 1 species